ACGCUGGCGGCGUGCCUAAUACAUGCAAGUCGAGCGAAGUUUUUCUGGUGCUUGCACCGGAAAAACUUAGCGGCGAACGGGUGAGUAACACGUAAAGAACCUGCCUCAUAGACUGGGACAACUAUUGGAAACGAUAGCUAAUACCGGAUAACAGCAUUAACUGCAUGGUUGAUGUUUAAAAGUUGGUUUUGCUAACACUAUGAGAUGGCUUUGCGGUGCAUUAGCUAGUUGGUGGGGUAAAGGCCUACCAAGGCGACGAUGCAUAGCCGACCUGAGAGGGUGAUCGGCCACACUGGGACUGAGACACGGCCCAGACUCCUACGGGAGGCAGCAGUAGGGAAUCUUCCGCAAUGGGCGAAAGCCUGACGGAGCAACGCCGCGUGAGUGAAGAAGGAUUUCGGUUCGUAAAGCUCUGUUGUUAGGGAAGAAUGAUUGUGUAGUAACUAUACACAGUAGAGACGGUACCUAACCAGAAAGCCACGGCUAACUACGUGCCAGCAGCCGCGGUAAUACGUAGGUGGCAAGCGUUGUCCGGAAUUAUUGGGCGUAAAGCGCGCGCAGGUGGUUUAAUAAGUCUGAUGUGAAAGCCCACGGCUCAACCGUGGAGGGUCAUUGGAAACUGUUAAACUUGAGUGCAGGAGAGAAAAGUGGAAUUCCUAGUGUAGCGGUGAAAUGCGUAGAGAUUAGGAGGAACACCAGUGGCGAAGGCGGCUUUUUGGCCUGUAACUGACACUGAGGCGCGAAAGCGUGGGGAGCAAACAGGAUUAGAUACCCUGGUAGUCCACGCCGUAAACGAUGAGUGCUAAGUGUUGGUCUCAUAAGAGAUCAGUGCUGCAGCUAACGCAUUAAGCACUCCGCCUGGGGAGUACGACCGCAAGGUUGAAACUCAAAGGAAUUGACGGGGACCCGC
rnacentral:rRNA from 1 species